rnacentral:rRNA from 1 species
AACGAACGCUGGCGGCAUGCCUAACACAUGCAAGUCGAACGAGACCUUCGGGUCUAGUGGCGCACGGGUGCGUAACGCGGGGGAACCUGCCCUUAGGUUCGGAAUAACUCCCCGAAAGGGGUGCUAAGACCGGAGAAUGUCUUCGGACCAAAGAUUUAUCGCCUUUGGAUGGGCCCGCGUUGGAUUAGCUAGUUGGUAGGGUAAAAGCCUACCAAGGCGACGAUCCAUAGCUGGUCUGAGAGGAUGAUCAGCCACACUGGGACUGCGACACGGCCCAGACUCCUACGGGAGGCAGCAGUGGGGAAUAUUGGACACUGGGCGAAAGUCUGAUCCAGCAAUGCCGCGUGAGUGAUGAAGGCCUUAGGGUUGUAAAGCUCUUUUACCCGGGAUGAUAAUGACAGUACCGGGAGAAUAAGCUCCGGCUAACUCCGUG